rnacentral:sRNA from 21 species
UCUUUAAUGAGUAUAUGGGGGUAACCCACUAUUAUUCAACGGGAGAAGUAACAGAAAACAAAAAAGGAGGCCAAAGCCUCCUUUUUUUAUUCAUU